UUUGCAAACGCUAUGGCUUAUGCUUGCUUCCAGAUCGUUCUAGUGGUUGAGAGCGUAAGUACAAUGCUGAAUCACGACCGGAAACUGAGGAAGCUGUCUGCAGUGAAGCUUUCAUGAUAGCUAAGUCAUAGCACGCGAAACCUAAAAGAAAAAUCGUCUCGGCUAUCCAAUUUUAUUGUACAACUUUAGAGGUCUAGAGAUCCAAUAUCCAUGUAGAAUUCUAGUGAUCUUGGAACUGCUCU